rnacentral:sRNA from 1 species
GCUGGGCACAGUGGCGCAUGCCUGUAAUCCCAUCGACUUGGGAGGCUGAGGCAGGAGGAUGGUGAGUUCAAAGCCAGCCUCAGCAAAAGCUAAGCAACUCAGAAAGACCCUGUCUCUA